rnacentral:tRNA from 1 species
GGAGAGGUGGCUGAGCGGCCGAAAGUGCAUGCUUGGAAAGCAUGUGUACCUCAGGGUACCCAGGGUUCGAAUCCCUGCCUCUCCG